ACAGCUGCCGAGGACAAGCUUCUUUGCGAGUGUUGGCGAGACAUUGGACAAGACCCAAAGACGGGCGCCGAGCAAAAGCAUUCGACCUUUUGGACUCGUGUGCACCACGAGUUUCAUGAGCGCAAGAAGUUUCCACCUUACCAAUUUGUGAGCACGCGUGGGUGGGUCUCCAUUUCCAAGCGGUGGAGGGUGAUCCAACAAGAGUGCAACAAGUUUUGCGCUACCCUUGAGAGCGUCAAGGCCCGCCCCGUGAGCGGCAUCGGCAUGCAGGACAUGGCAUUUCAAGCUUUGGAUGCAUUCAAGGUUCAACACAAUGGCAAGUGCUUCAACCUCUCCCAUUGCUAUCGGGUCAUCAAG
rnacentral:rRNA from 1 species